rnacentral:rRNA from 1 species
AUCAUGGCUCAGGAUGAACGCUAGCGGCAGGCUUAAUACAUGCAAGUCGUACGGGAUCCGAAGUAGCAAUACUUUGGUGAGAGUGGCGCACGGGUGCGUAACACGUAUGCAACCUACCUUUAACCGGGACACAACCUUGAGAAAAUUGAGGCUAAUAUCCCAUAACACUGCGAGAUGGCAUCAUUUUGCAGUUAAAACUCCGGUGGUUAUAGAUGGGCAUGCGCGACAUUAGCUAGUUGGUGAGGUAACGGCCCACCAAGGCUACGAUGUCUAGGGGUUCUGAGAGGAUUAUCCCCCACACUGGUACUGAGACACGGACCAGACUCCUACGGGAGGCAGCAGUAAGGAAUAUUGGUCAAUGGGCGCAAGCCUGAACCAGCCAUGCCGCGUGAAGGAUGACGGCCCUAUGGGUUGUAAACUUCUUUUGUACGGGAAAAAACCUCUGGUCGUGUACCAGAGCUGAUGGUACCGUAAGAAUAAGCAUCGGCUAACUCCGUG